UAAAGUCUAGGCUACAUAUAAAUUAAAGUGGCAAUCAAAGUGUAAAAAGAGAAAUUGUGCACAACCACCACUGAAUACAUGCAGCCACUUCUUUAUUUUAUUCUAAGACAAUAACCUUUUGAAGAAACUGGAGCCCAUAUCACACGCCAGGUGCAAUACUUAACGUACAGUACUUAAAGUUAAUAUGGUAUUGUAUUUAAUUCCAUGUUCUGCGACUACGCGUAAUUGUGUGUUUAGUUACAAAACAUAAACUUGGAUGACUAAUUGCGAAUUAGUCACUGAGAAGUGCAAAAUUAUUGUUUGGUCCUCAACAUGAUCAUAUAUUAUCAUGAUUGAGUAAGCCACUCCAUUGGCCACUAUAACUUUAUGAGUAGUUAUAUAAGCAUAACAGUUUUAUGUGAAAAAGAUUUUAUAAACAGACGUGGCAUAUUAUCAUUGGUUGUAUUAAGAUUCACAUAAU
rnacentral:lncRNA from 1 species